AUGGGGUCGUCGGGGAACCGGGUGGUGCUGGCGGUGAACGGCGCGCGGCACGAGGCCGCCGGCGUCGACCCGUCCAUGACGCUGCUCGAGUUCCUGCGCACGCGGACGCCCGUCAGGGGCCCCAAGCUCGGCUGCGGCGAAGGUGGAUGUGGUGCAUGUGUGGUACUUAUCUCCAAGUAUGACCUGGCUACUGACAAGGUGACUGAGUUCUCAGCGAGCUCCUGCCUGACGCUCGUUGGCAGCCUCAACCACUGCUCGGUGAUCACCAGCGAGGGCAUCGGCAAUAUCCGCGAUGGCUUCCACCCAGUACAGCAGCGCCUCUCUGGCUUCCACGCCUCGCAGUGCGGCUUCUGCACUCCCGGCAUGUGCAUGUCCAUCUUUUCUGCCCUCGUCAAGGCCGACAAGACCGGGGACCCCGCCCCACCGCUGGGAUUCUCCAAGCUCACCUGCUCUGAGGCUGAGCAUGCCGUCUCCGGCAACCUGUGUCGUUGCACCGGCUACCGGCCCAUCAUCGAUGCCUGCAAGAGCUUUGCUGCUGACGUCGACCUCGAGGACCUUGGCCUCAAUUCCUUCUGGAAGAAAGGUAUCGACCGUGCCGAUGUAGGCAAGCUACCGGGGUACUCCAGCGGCGCCAUCUGUACCUUCCCUGAGUUCCUCAAGGCCGAGAUCAAGGGUCAAACAAACGAUGUUCCAGCCGCUACGUACGAUGGCUGGUACCGUCCCAAGAGCAUCCAGGAUCUCCGCAACCUCUUCGACUCCAACUGGUUCAACGAAAACUCAGUUAAGAUCGUGGCGUCAAACACCGGCGCCGGAGUGUACAAGGAUCAAGACCUUUAUGAAAAGUACAUCGACAUCAAAGGGAUACCGGAGCUUUCGGUCAUCAACAGGAGCAACAAGGGGGUGGAGAUCGGGGCAGCCGUGUCCAUCUCCAAAGCCAUUGAGGUCUUCUCCGAUGGCACUCCCGUAUUCAGAAAGACCGCCGGUCACCUGAGCAAGGUGGCCUCGCCGUUCGUCCGGAACACGGCGACGAUCGGAGGGAACGUGAUCAUGGCUCAGAGGCUGCCUUUCGCUUCAGACAUCGUCACUGUCCUUCUUGCCGUCGGUUCGACAGUGACAAUCCAGACGGCUUCCAAGAUGCUGUGCCUGACACUGGAGGAGUUCUUGGAGCAACCUCCGUGUGACGCCAAGACCAUAUUGCUCACCAUAUUUGUCCCAGAUUGGGGUUCAGACAGUGUCAUCUUCGAGACCUCUCGUGCAGCUCCGAGACCGUUCGGCAAUGCUGUGUCCUAUGUGAAUUCUGCAUUCCUGGCAAGGACUUCAGGGGAUGCAGCAUCAGGGGAGCUCCUCAUUGAGGAUAUCUGCCUCGCAUUCGGAGCUUACGGCGUUGAUCACGCCACCCGGGCUCGGAAGGUUGAAAAAUUCCUGAAGGGGAAACCAGUGAGUGCACCUGUGGUACUUGAAGCGGUUCAGUUGCUGAAAGAUGUUAUCUCGCCGUCAGAAGGCACCACACACCCUGAGUACAGAGUCAGCUUGGCGGUCAGUUUCUUGUUCAGUUUCCUUUCUUCACUUAGUAACAACCUGAAUGAACCUGCAAAGUCUAUUGCUCCCAAUGGCUCAUGUGCCGAAUCAUCGCCUGAGAAGCAUGAUGAGGUUGCCAGCGAUGGCUUGCCAAUUCGCUCAAGGCAAGAACUGGUUUUCAAUGAUGAAUACGAACCUGUCGGCAAGCCAAUCACGAAAGCUGGGGCGGAGCUGCAAGCUUCUGGGGAGGCUGUGUAUGUUGAUGACAUCCCAGCUCCCAAGGAUUGUCUCUACGGAGCAUUUAUCUACAGCACACACCCUCAUGCCCAUAUAAAAGGUGUCAACUUCAAAUCAUCGUUGGCUUCCAAAAAGGUCAUCACGGUUAUCUCCGCAAAGGACAUUCCAGCUGGUGGAAGAAAUGUUGGAUCCGCCUUCCCGAUGCUAGGAGAUGAAGCACUUUUCGGUGAUCCGGUGUCUGAAUUUGCUGGUCAGAAUAUUGGCAUUGUGAUCGCUGAAACACAGAAGUACGCUUAUAUGGCGGCGAAGCAAGCCAUCAUUGAGUAUAGCACCGAGAAUCUUGAGCCGCCAAUUCUGACAAUAGAGGACGCCAUCCAACAUAAUAGUUACUUCCCUGUUCUCCCAUUUUUGGCUCCUCAGCCAGUUGGGGACUUUGACCAAGGGAUGUCUGAAGCGGAUCACAAGAUACUAUCAGGAGAGAUAAAACUUGAAUCACAGUACUACUUCUACAUGGAGACGCAGACCGCAUUGGCCAUCCCUGAUGAAGAUAACUGCAUCACUGUCUACUCCUCGGCGCAGCUACCCGAGAUCACGCAGAAUGUCGUCGCGGACUGUCUCGGCAUUCCGUACCACAAUGUUCGCAUAAUCACCAGAAGAGUUGGAGGCGGCUUUGGUGGAAAGGCAAUGAAAGGGUCCUAUGUCGCAUGUGCCUGUGCACUUGCAGCGUUCAAGCUGCGGCGCCCUGUCAGGAUGUACCUCGACCGCAAGACCGACAUGAUCAUGGCAGGUGGGCGGCACCCGAUGAAGGUGAAGUACUCGGUUGGGUUCAAGUCGGACGGCACACUCACGGCAUUAUACGUCGACCUCGGGAUGAAUGCCGGGAUAUCACCAGACUUGAGCCCGUUGAUGCCGGGUUGCACCAUCGGUGCUUUGAAGAAGUACAACUGGGGUGCCCUUGCCUUCGACAUCAAGUUGUGCAAGACCAACGUCUCGUCAAAGUCCGCAAUGCGGGCGCCUGGCGACGUGCAAGGCUCCUUCAUCGCGGAGGUCAUCAUCGAGCACGUCGCAUCCGUGCUUGCGGCCAACCCCAACACCAUCCGUAGGAAGAACCUCCACAACGUUGAGAGCCUCACGAAAUUCUACGGUGAUGCCGCGGGGGAUGCCCCCACGUACAGCCUCGUCGACAUCUUCGACAAGCUGGCCUUGUCGUCGGCGUACCGGAGCAGGGCGGAGGCAGUUGAAUGGUUCAAUGGCGGGAGCAGGUGGAGGAAGCGUGGCAUCUCGUGUGUGCCCAUCACCUAUGAGGUGUCCCUUCGGCCGACGCCGGGGAAGGUGUCCAUCCUGAACGACGGCUCAAUCGCCGUGGAGGUCGGCGGCGUGGAGCUCGGGCAGGGGUUGUAUACCAAGGUGAAGCAGAUGACGGUGUUCGGGCUGGGGGAGCUCUGCCCUGACGCCGAUGGGCUGCUCGGUAAGGUGCGCGUGAUCCAGGUUGACUCACUGAGCAUGAUACAGAGCGGGUUCACCGGCGGGAGCACCACCUCCGAGACCAGCUGUGAGGCGGUCCGGCAGUCGUGCGCUGCGCUCGUUGAGCGCCUCAAGCCCAUCAAAGAGGGUCUCGAGGCCAAGUCCGGCGCAGCAGCGCCAUGGAGCUCCUUGAUCGCCCAGGCGAAAAUGGCGAGCAUGAACCUGUCGGCACAUGCCUUCUGGACGCCCGACCCAGCCUUUGUAAAAUACCUCAACUACGGAGCCGCCGUCAGCGAGGUGGAAAUCGAUGUUCUGACUGGAGCGACGACGAUCCUGAGGAGCGACCUCGUGUACGACUGCGGGCAGAGCCUGAACCCGGCGGUGGACCUUGGCCAGGUGGAAGGCGCAUUCGUGCAAGGGGUUGGGUUCUUCACAAACGAGGAGUACACGACGAACGCCGACGGGCUGGUGGUGAACGACGGCACGUGGACGUACAAGAUCCCGACGGUGGACACCAUCCCAAAGCAGUUCAACGUGGAGCUCAUCAGCAGCGCGCGCGACAAGAAGCGGGUACUCUCCUCCAAGGCGUCCGGCGAGCCGCCGCUGCUGCUGGCAGCGUCGGUGCACUGCGCCAUGCGGGAGGCCAUCAGAGCGGCUAGGAGGGAAUUCUCGGUCAACUCGCCACUGACAUUUCAGAUGGAUGUGCCGGCCACCAUGGCGGACGUCAAGGAGCUCUGUGGCCUCGACGUCGUCGAGAGGCAUCUCCAGCGCCUCUCCUCUGCCACCGCCAGGGCCUGA
rnacentral:rRNA from 1 species